GUUAAGAAUAACUCUAUGAAUUCUCUAUAUGCUUGAUUGAGAGCUUUUAUCCAUGGAAUUAUUGUUUAUUGAUCAUAGAUAUGAUAAUGUGUACUUGGUAUGCUUUUGAAUAUAUGCACUAUGAAUACCAAGAUUAAAGAAACCAUCUUUGGCAUAUAAAAUCAACUCAUGCUAGUAUGUACUUAAUCUCAAAAGACCUUGUCAUUGGCUUACUUAGAUUAUCUUCUGAAAGGUCAAAGUUUACUAUGCAUGCUAACUAAGGAAACAAACAAAAAUCAAUUUCUAAAUCUAAAGAUGUUGUUUCCAUCACCAAGUUUUCAAAAGCUUACAUUGGAUGUGUUCUUGGC
rnacentral:lncRNA from 1 species